rnacentral:lncRNA from 1 species
ACCCCAUCGUCUUCUCCACCCCUCUACGCUAUGAAUCGCCGACCGAAAAUUGUCUCCGCUGGACAAAGUCAACCAAAUCCCCGCAAACCGAUAUCAAUCGACUCCUCCUCUUAUUCCCUAUCCCAUUACAUCAAAAUUGAACCUCCAUUUUCAUCCCGUUACCACUAGACUCGAAACCGUAACCGUCGUUUCCCCCUUUUCAUUUCCAGCCCAAUUCAUGGUUGUAACCAACAGGAAUUGAUGUCAGUUUCGGUAGAUUUCAAUGGCAAUCGGCGCUAGUCAACUCACCGUUGACCGGCCAGAAUCUAAUUUUCUCCCGUUGGCUCAGGAUUUUUGAAAGGUAUUUCUCUACUUUUCCCUUUUUACUCCUUCCUGCCGUCUUGUUAUUUCAAUGGCAGAAUUUGGGUUAGGUUCUCUAUUCUUAGCCUUUGUUCAUAUACGUUCUCUAGUGUUUGCAUGUUUACUAAUAAGCUAGAUUUCGUGUCAAAAUUUAUUUGCUUAGUGAUUGUUUGUUAAAUUUGGAUUAUUUUGCUGUCUUGAUUUGUUGGUUAAUUGUGAGGAUCUGAUAGAUUGGACUUGUUCUCAGCGGGUGUACAAGCCCAUGUGUCCAUUGGGUAAGCAAUUUCCUGGGUCGGACAGAUGGGUCUAAGCCCAUUCUUUUUCCUUUAGAAUCUGAUAAGGUUUAUAAUAGGAGGCCGUAAUUCGGGGAAGGCUGUUAAAAGGGUAAGGUAGAAAAUGUAAAAGCAGGGGUUUAAAGGGGUAAUUGGAAAAAUAAACUUAAGAAAUCUUUUUGUUAACUGCUUGGGAAGUUUUCAGGAAAUAGGGAAAAGGACUAAGUAGCAAAGAAGAAGAGGAAACCCUCUAGAAAGAGGUCGUGUGAGGGACAUAGGUGUUUAAAAGCAGAAGGAGUAGGGGGUGCAAAAGAAUUUAAAAGGAAAAGCCCUAAAUUCUAGAUUAUAAGUAGGUGUUCUUCCUCACAUAUGAGGGACUCUUCAUCAGUUAAGAAACACACAUUAGGCUGCCCAUAAAAUACUAAUUUAGAAGAAGAAAAUGCAUAAAAAAUAAAGAAAGAUUGGAUAAGAGAAGGAUUGAAAAGGCUGUUUUGAAUUCUGUUUGUUUGCUUCGUAUUUUUCUGGAUUUUCAAAGAGUAAAUUUAGUCUAAAGUGGUUCUAGUUGCUGCUGAUUUUGUUGUCUUGUUCGCUGAGCUCCCUCCAUCCUUCUUCUUUCUUAGCCUUUAUUUGGCAUUAUAAGUGGUAUGUGAACACUAGGUACACUUUUCUUACUUUGUAUCUCGACUCUUCUGCAUGAUGAAUUUCUAAUUUUUGUGAUGUGACCUUUGUUUGGCUCAUCUUCUAAUUUUAAUUAUUGGUUACAUGCUAAACAUACUUGAAAUGCUUGAUACAAUGACUAAUUGAAUAGUUAAGGCAUGUUGUGAGCAUAAUUAACAAUAAAAUGAUUAUCAACAUCAAGUUAUGAUUUCGUAUAAAAAUCUAUGAACAUUAAGGCUUAUUAAGUUUGAAGGAGUGCAAUUGUUAUAUUAUUAAUGUCAUAUGUAUAAUUUUCAAAAGAUUGACUGGUGGAUCUUAGUCUUCACUUUUGUUUGCUUGAUGGAUGUGCACGAGAUAUGGGUGUAAAUUCCGAGUCCGCAUGAAUAAAUGCUAGGCUAGACGAAUUGGAGAUAGUUAUUCACAUAACUGAAUCCAGAUUAGCAAAAUCCAUGUAAUUCCUGUUUUGUUUAAGCCGUGAUGUAUGAUUAAAAUGUUGAUUUCAUCAGCUGUGUAUUUGGUUAGAUUAAUGAUUGGAAGUUGUGGUUGCCACUGUUGGUAACUAGUAUUUAGUUUUGACGGUCCUUUUUUAGAAGCCCAGAUCUUUCGAAGUUAAUGAAGUUGGACUAAACUUGAAUUCAGCCCAGCCAGGCCUGGUACGACUAAUUAUAAUCACGCCUAUCCUCAGGCCCAUCCUUUAAUUGAUAUCCUUUGAGGAUUUUGGGCUUUAUCAUUAAGAACUCGAUUGGGGCCUAGUUAAAUCCAGCAGGCCAGGCCUGCAUCCUUCGCGUAUGGCUUCAUCUAUUAGAAGGCAGAUUUAAACGAGGCCCAAACUUAUAAUUUUUCUUUAAUAUACAAAACCAGCAAAGUUGUGGUUCUUUAGACUCGUUAAAAAUCCGUUGCUGAUGCCUUUUAUAAAAUGAACCAAUCAAAUUCUCAUUUUCAAUUGUGAUCUUUUGUAGUGCUAAGCAAUCUUCUCAUCACAACAUUUAGUUAAUAGAAAUAACCAACAAUAGGAAUAACAUCAGUCUUAAUUGAUUAAAUAGAACCCAAACAAUUAAUUAGUCCAAGUAAAAAGAUUAUACGUGGCCUAUCACAACAUAUCCAUAUGCAAUGAUCUUAACCAAAUAACCUUAAACUAGUUUAGGAAAAUACCUUAUGAACAUUUGUAGUUGCUUUAGGCGCGCUUAUAAAAAUAAAUCAUCGCAUUUUUGGGUACGGUUCCCGUGGCAUAAUUAUGACACCUAAUUCAACAAUUCAAGUGUGUGUUCGUGAAACUUGAUCCUCAACUUCAAAUAAUUUGAUAAAUAAACAUAUUGUAAAUUGCGGGUGCAUUUCACGUGACGUGAUUUAUAAUGUGUACAAAAUAACAAGUGUACGACAUCGUAACUUGUUUAAAAUAAAUUCCAUUAAUUGUUAAAAACAUACAAUUAAAAGCGGUAAAAGGUAAAUGCACAUAAGUUUAAAAUAUAUAAUAAUCAAAUUAAUUAAGCCAAAUAUAAUUGUUAAGUGACCGUGCUAAAAUCACGAAAUCCAAGCAUGCUUCACACCUUCUCCCAGGUUAACAUAAUUUUUUACACGAUGUUCUGUAUUUCGCACACUUAAACAGAGUCAAUUUUCCUUAAAUUGGGAUUUAAAAUAAAUCGGUGACUAGGAAUACCAUAAUUAAAUUAUUUCAAGUGGCGACUCAAAAAUUAAAAUAAAAUUAAUUCCUUUUCAAUAAUGUCACUUAAAUCGAAAAAAUUCCUUUCUUUCCACAAUCCCCGAGAAAAAGGAGGUAUGACAGCUCUGGCGACUCUCCUGGGGACACGAACCUAGAAUCUGUGGUUCAGGGUUCAGAAUUCGAGCUUAAAGUACUUUUAUAAUUGUCUUCUUGUGAUUGUCUAAUAUUACAUAUUUAGGCCUAAUGUGCUAAGUGCCGCUUAUUUGUAGCUUUAAUAUUUGUGAAUUGUAUAUAAACAACUGUUACGACACCCUUCUUCUCUCUGAGUUUACUGCAUCUACUGUGAGCGCACGUAUGUGUGGCUCUUUUCUUUUAGAAGUGUCACACCCAUAAUCUUAGAAUGGGGAUCAGAUUAGUUACAAAGCCAGAUGGCUGUUUGGUUUCCGGUAUAUUACCCCCCUCCGCCGGCUCGAGUUGUCUGCUCGGGUAAGCUAGGUCUAGAAUUCCACGCCAUUUAAGGCUUUACCCUAGAAUAACAUAGCCCCAUGCUGGAUCCCUAGUAGGUACACUUGUUUACAUCAUGUGUAUUUGACUUUGGGGACUCAACACAGGGGUUGAGUCCGUCUAGGACAAUUGUACCUAAGAUUAAAAGACCAUGCGUGAUGCAUCUUACAUGCUACUUAUACAUUUGUUUGGUAUGUGUUGCAUGUUGACUGGAUUCUAAAAUAGCAAAGAAUCGCGAAAAAUUAGGAGAGAGAAUAUAUGAGAGAAAUUCACCCGUUUUGUUUGUAAAAUUCCGGUAUUUGAAAAAUCCUGAAACCUUAUCAAAAAGUUUAAAGGUGGUUACCAAAUGAGCCAAAAUCUUCAAAGUGUCGUGCAUCCUCCCUGUUUUGAAAAAAUUUACCGAACUACGCGGGUCUAAUUCUCACUGGUCGUGAUAUACGUAGGCAACCUUCAUCAGGUUUGGCCCCGCCUUUUACAAGUAUGACCAAAAUGAGAACUAUAGUAAGUAGAUUCCAAAAUAAAGUCGUGUUACGCCGUUCUUGUCCAAAUAGCCAAGAAAUGUUCCUUCGAGACGCCGAAAGGUUGUUUUUACCAAAAUAGCAGCAUUGGGCCCUUUUUCCUCAAACUUUGUGCCACUUGAGCAGGCACAACCCUAAAAUCAUCCCCCGAAGUGCUGAAGGGUCGUGUUUACAAUAGUGGCCACCUGAGUGUUUUUCUUGGUUUUAAAAAUCAGAUUUUUGCGAAAUUUAUUUUUCUAUAGUUAUUUUGAAAAUAAUAUCCCUUUUUUGACCCAUUUUAUCCUUUAAAUGUGCAGAAUGAGCACUAUCCAAAAUUUACCUCUACGAGUCAUAGAUGAGAUCCCAUUGAAGCUCCAUAUAUGGUGGGAUGACUUGGGGUAAAAAGGAUGGGAUCUAGUCAAUCAUUACUUGGGGGGCACUCACCAGUUUGUUAAAGAUUAAGCCCAGAAGUGACUUGAUAGGGGUAUUGGUGCUAUUCUGGGAUCCAGCUCACAAUAUGAUUCGUUUCUCGAACUUUGAGCUAACACCUACUUCAGAGGAAAUAGCGGGCUAUGCUGGAACUACAGAAGGGUUAAGGUAAAAAAAUAUUUGAUAGCCCUAAGGAUCGUCAUUCCUCACAGGUUUUUAGAUCUCUUGAAGAUAAGAAGGAAGAUUAAGACCGUGGACCUGGCAGAUGGGUUUUGCUCUUUCCAAUUUUUGUAUCAGCAUUGUGGGAAUUCGAAGGGGUUUGAGAUUCAAGAAAACGGGCUUUGCAACAAAGGCAAUCGGACCAAGUGGGAGAUGCACAGGGGUUUUGAUUUCACAGUGGCAUUUUUAGGCACCUUGGUGUUCUCGAGAGAGGAUAGAAACAUUGAUUUACGCCUAGCCGGAGUUGUUCUAGUUUUGACUACCCAAGACAAAAGAACCCUUAUACCUAUGAUUGUAUUAGACAUAUUCCGAGCUUCGACAUCUUGCAAGGCCGAAGCCAAAUUUUUUAGGGAUGCAUCCUAUUGCUACAAAUGUGGUUGAUAGAUCACUUUUUUCAUCGUCGCAUAUAUAUGAACUGCGGUGCUAGGGGCCAGUUGCAUUGAAGAGUUUGAAAAAAGGGUGACUGGUUUCAUAAUGCCAGAAUGGGUUAGGGCUUGGAUCACCCGCCUUCGUUCAUUAACUUCAAGUCAGAUAGAGUGGAUCCUGGGUUGGCUUUCUGCUAACGAGAUCAUUCAUAUGUAUGCCACUGGUUCUUAUUUUCUCUUGAUGGGUCUCCGCGUUAUUCAGUCGUACGCCGCAUCCCGGCUACUGGUGCCAGCUAGUUCCUCAAGAUGAGGACCUUAGUGUUCAUGUUAUCGAGUUACGUCCCAAAGCUCAGUUUCCCAAAAAUAUAGUCCGCCAGAUUUGGAGUGAAUGCCAGUAUUUGGGGCCAGAUAUCUGAGUACAUGAUUUAUCAAAGGGUGAGGUUGAACUCGGAUAUGCUACUUAGUAUGGAAAGAGAGCAAUGGUAAAUAAUGAGUCUAAAAGACCAGCCAAGAGGCCCCACGUCCAAGAGUUUGGUGAUAGGGCACAAGAACACUGAGCUUGGGUAGCAAAAAUAGAAAAAUACAGGGCCACAAUCAAUACCCUACAAGAGCAAGUGAGGGUCCUUAGCUUUGAGAAGGAAUUGCAAGCUACCGAGGAUGACAGAGAAAAGAAGAGAUUGGCUCGCGAUAAUGUGGCCCUUCGAACCCAACUCUGAGAGAUGAAAAGGGCAUCAGAGGUACAAGUAAGAAGUGAAAGACAUCAAUAAAUCAUCAAAAAUUUGAGGCAGUGUGUGUUUGAUCACGCAACCGAUUUGACAAAAACUAAGAAAGAGAUAGCAAGGGCCCGUGAGAGGAUAGUUCAAUUAGGUGAAGAUUUUGAGAACCGCCUAAGGUUGGCCUGCCAAGCAAAGCAAAAUCACGAAGAAGAAGUUGCUGGUUUAAGGAAAGAUUUGGCCAUCCUUGAAAAUAAAAUGAGUCAACAAGUUAAGGACUUUAAGGCAGAAAGAGAACACUAUUACAACUUGCUAAACCAGUUGUAGGGGAAUGUGGUAGACCCACAAAACAAGAGGGAUCAGACAUAAUACUUGGUAGGAGCCCGAGAUCUACAUAUUAGACUAAUAUUUCUGGACCAAAGAAUCACGAAGUUCAGCAUUCAGGAAAUAUCCGACUAUGCUGCCAAGAAAUGCAAUGACUGUGAAAAGAUGACCAUGGUCAUGUUCUUCUCCACAAUGUUGACUUUUGUUGGCCAGGUCAUGAGUGAUCUAGAAGUUUUUUAUUGGAAACAUACCGACGCAGUGACUAACAGAUGUCACACGAGGCCCUGCUUGUCCAUUGUAUCAGUUGCGUUUGAUUAUCGAGUCUGUAGUUUACUUUCCCACAUCAAGUCUGUUGUUUAUUAUCCAUUUCGAAUCUGUUGUUUAUUGUCCAUUUCGAGUCUGUUGUUUAUCUUUCACUUUGAGUCUGUAUGUUUUUUUCUAAGUCAAUUUUAAUAUCAUUUAAAGUCUUUGUAUUAAAAACCCAAAAAGAUUUUUGUUUAAUGAAAUAUUGAAAACUUAUAAAUUCUCUCCUUUUAUUUUUGCAUUUAUUUUUCUGAACUACGUGAUGGUCUGAUUCAAGCGACAUCAUGAUACGUAGGCAAUCCUCGAAGGAUGCGAUCUAAAACCCGAACAAAACCACGAAUGAAAUAUGAGUGGAAAAAGCAAAACAAAAAGAGAAAACAAAGAGCGAUAAGACCAAAAAGAGAGUUUUAAAAAAAAAGAAAAGAAAAGAGAGAUGUAAUAUAAAAGAGGUAUGAAAAAUAGAGCGAGAUAAUAAAUAAGCCGGGAUGAAACAUGCAACCUUUCAAAUACACGAUAGAAGCGUUUUUAACUGUUAGGUGCAUUGCAUCCGUACUUACGAUUUCCUAUCUGUUAAGUGUCACGUCCAAAACUCCCUAGACAUGACUGGCACCCAGCUAACACUACCCGCUAGGCGAACCAAUUCCUGUAUUCUUAACCCUUUUAUAAGCAUUGAGAGAAAUACGUACUAGUUCAAACGCAUUAAAUAUUACUAAAUAUAAAAUAAUUAUCCAACUAAAACCAUAAUUUAUUUAUAAAUUAUGAUGAGCCCUCAAAUAAUAAAUCUCUAACCCAAAUUCCAUACUAAGACAGUGCAACAUCUAAAUAGAGUAAUAGAAGUCAAACCGACGGGCAUGCAAACCCGAAAGAAAUAAUAAACAUAAGAUAGGUAGAACUGAAACAGUGGCCUCCAUGAAUGAUGUGGCGGCUCACCUCAGCAAUGGAAUCCACUCAACGAACUUGUUAGCCACUAGUCUCGUCCUCGUCAACAGUAUCUGCAUGGACAUGCAAGUAAGGAGUGAGUUAUACGUAAAUAUAACUCAAUAAGAUUCUCGACCCGCCACUCUGAAUACCUAUGGAAUAAGUGUUCGAAAAUACAAACACUCAACGAGCACAUAAAUAAUAUGCCCAAAAAUUCUUUCACUAUAUAAUAACUCUAUAAGGCCCAAACAAUUAUUCAACAACAAUACCAUAUAUCUCAGCACAAUCUAUACUAAGGACUUGUCAUAAACGACAAUGAAAAAAAUUAACCAUACACCCCAACGAGUCCACGACAACAUACACAAUGCCUCAAAUCUAUCACGGCGGCAUACACAAUACCCUAAAUAUAUUACGGUAGCGAAGAAAUAAUUUCUAACGCCCCAACGGCAUAGCACGAGGCUAUGCCACAUCACACCACACAACAAAUCACUUAUAAAUAUUUUUAAAUUUUUUUACAAAAUAAUAUAUAUUUGUGGCUGGUCAAAGACCACCGAUUCUGUCGAGCGCACGCUAGUCCCAACACAUAGACCUGUCAGACAAAACAUACUUUCAAAAUGGGUUUUGAAAAGGCAAACACCAAAGCUUAAAGUCUCACUUUCCCAACCUUGCAACAUCCAGAACACCAAGCAAACAACCUCCAAUCUCCUCAAUCUAUCUAAAAUAUUAAAUAACACGUCCUAAUUAAGCUAGGUGAAUAAUUUUCAUAAUCUUAGGACGAGUCAAAAUUAAAGUUAACCCUAGUCUAAUUAAUAAAAUAUGUACACAAUUCGUUAAACGCAGAACGUGAAAGAGAAUACCGAAAAAGAGUUGGCUGCAGAAUGCAUUCUGAUGCUUAAUCCACCUAACUCAUUAUAAUUAUUCUAAUCAUUGUCAACCAUUGAAUCAUAAUUACUCUAGCCUCUCAUUAUUAAAUAAUUAUUGGCUAAUCAUUAGUAUUCUAAUUUUUUAAAAGAAGCAAAAGUAUAAAUCGAAAGUUGAAUUUCUGAUGCAAGUUACUGCCAUCCUAAUAUUAUUGGCUAAUCAUAAUAAUAAUCAUUAGUUUAUUAUGAUGCCAUUAUUUUUUUAAAAAAAUAUCUCUACAAGGUAUGUAUAUAUAAUACUCAAAAGUGUGAGCUAACAAAUCAAAGUAAAUCUCCACACCUGAGCUAUUAAACCUUCACAGUGCUUGUUUCAAUUACUUCCCUCAAUCCCGCCGUCCAACCCCCCUGAAGCUCUCCUCUGUGUUUCCCUUAUAUAUGCUUCAGGAACAAAGGGAUCAAUUUCCCUAGGUCUUAAAACGUGGCAGCUACAAAAGAUUGGGCUUGGCCCACUUACUGUAUCCCUUUAAUGAAAAUUAAUUUCUAAGGUUUGUGUAGUGUGUGGCCCAAUAGCUACAAGUUAAAUAAUUUUUUUUCUUUCUCAAAUUUUACAAUUAGUAAGUAUACAUAUAAAAUUUCGGGUUAUUACAUUCUCCCCCACUAAAAAAAAUAUUCGUUCUCGAAUGUUAAACAAGCAAUACCUUAAAAAAGAGAGGUACGAAUACUUCUUCGUUACACUCAAUUUAUCUUUUCAUAUUUUCACUACAUACGCCUCUUCUAAUAUAUUUGAAAACUUAUUAAUAACUACAACUAUUCUAAAAGUCAAAAUCUGAACUCUAGUGUCUAAAAUCAUAGUUUGAUAUGUUGAACACUUUCUAUUCAUCUCAUGUAAAUCCUUCGUAUAAGGAACUUCCUCUAUUACAACCCAUAUUCGCAUACGUUAGAUCACGCCGUAAGUUAGUCGACGUAAUUCCGGGAAGAGAUUAUCUUUGAGAUGAUAAGAAGUUAAUCCCAGUGGUCUUAAAUGAUACAAGGGUGUAUAAGAGUGGUUAACAAGUAUUAGAAGUUAGAAGUUAAACAAAUCAAGGAUGUUGUAACCCUUAUUUUCGGAUAAAACUAGAGGUGCUUAAUAUGCUAAGGAGGUCGUGUUUUAAGGUAUUUGAAUCAUAUAAUAUCUGUAUCAUAAGUCUUGAAGUCAAGCGAUCUAUGAAACAAAAGUCGACAAAAGUUGUCGCAACUUACGUUCAUAAUUUUACAUAAAAUUUAGGUCAAAUGUUACUUAAAUUUUCUCCCAAUUUAUUUGGAAUUACAGGGUGAUUCACCCCCCAGUUUGAAGAUCUAUGAGUCUAGUUUCUAACGCAUUAAAUCGUUCAUCGAUAUGACGUCGGAGUAGAGAGAUAUUUGCGUUUUUGCGAGACUAUGCAAGCAGCUCUCUAUGGAACCCACUUAGGCGGUUGAGAUAUAUUGAUAUAUAUGAGACUCCUUAAGCCUGUUUUAACUCAUUAUUUUUCACUCUCUUCUUACCCUAGACACCUAAAAACUUUCUCUCAAAGUUCUCUCAUGAUACAAGACCCAUACAAAGGGCAAACAACACAAAUAAAGUGUCGGGAAUCCCGUGGCGCUAGUAAGUUUCUUGUUCUUCUUGUUGUUGCUGAUUUUUGUGUGGUUCCAGCUCGUGUGGGAGGUUGUUUUAAGUUUUGUAAAAUAAUCUCUCAAGUUUUUAAUAUCAACCCUAGGUGAUUUCAAGUCUUUCAAAGUGAUUCUAGUGCCGAGGAACCCGAAUUGAUUGCUAGUUUCGCUUCCUUGUUUUUAUGGCUGCAUUGGUAGGAUAUUUCGUGGUGAAGUAAGCUCAAAUUGGAGUUGUUCCUAUCUCAGUAAAGGUAAGGAACGUCUUACUCUACAUGUAUUUAAGCUUAUCCAAGUUGCGGCUAAGUUGUUAAAGCUAGAACUUGUGAGAUAUCUGUCGAAAGGCUUGUUAGUAAUGUUGUUGAUUGGUGGACUGUUUUGGGAUGCUUAAUAUGAUUAUUAUUGAUGUUGUUUGGGCUGUUUGGUGAUUGUUUUAACUUGUGAGAAGUCAUAUAAAUAGGGGAGGUGCUGUCUGUUUCAUCGUAAAAUAGGUUGCAGUUGAUAUGUACUAGUUACGACGCUUAAACGAUAACGAUAGUAUCAUUUCUCUUAUUGUAGACUAAGGAGCCGUGAGACUUGCAUAGCUUGAGGUUGGGCAGUAUAUACAAAGUAUGUGAGGCUAUCUCUUUCUUUCUUUUGCACGACUUCGAUUGUACAUAAUGUAACGAAUGAGCUUCCAAAGAUACUCCACUCUUAGAAGCUAGCAGUACUCAUAUUGUUUCCCUUCUUAUGGAAAGAUUGAUGUUGAUGUUGCUUCUCUUAUUUUUAGGUAACAAAUGUUGUUGGUAUUUCCUGAUUUCUAUAAGAUUCAUGAUGAUGAAUUAGCUCUAAUAACGUAUAUGAAGGUUACUGACCUUACGUCACUCCAAAAGGUUUAGAACGUGAUUGUAUGAGUCCAACAUGCAUUAUAUAUAUGUAUCUAUUUUACUCUACCGAGCCGCGCUAUAGUCGGUUGGGUAUGGCACCUACUGUGCAACCACUAAUCAGUUGGGUUUUACCGAGCUCCAUGUGGCCUGGUACAAUUUUACCGAGCCUUAUGACGGCCGGGUUACAUUUUUACCGAGCNNNNNNNNNNNNNNNNNNNNNNNNNAUAUAUAUAUAUGUAUGUAUCAUGUAUUUCAUGUCACGCCCUCAGAGGCACUCAGAUGUUACAUGUGUAUUCUCUAUCCCUGUUUACAUUACCGUCCUUAUUUGUGCUUUCCUGCCUUACAUACUCAGUACAUUAUUCGUACUGACGUCCCUUUUAUUUGUGGACACAACAUGUCGUGCUGCAGGUCCUGAUAGACAGGUAGACGAAGCUCCCCCACCACAAUGGGCUGCCCAAUUCAAC